AUGGUUACAAGACACUUUUCAAUGGUUACAAUACACAUGGUUAAUGCUGUACUGGAAGUUGUACAGUCGUUUUAUAACCUUUUUUGUUGUCUUUUGUUCGGCCUCCGUCGAAGUCUGUUUGCACUGAUAUGCUUUCAUUUUUCAGGUGCUCCGCUCUCCUUAACGUCAUUCAAUAGAAAAGUAUUUCUGAGACCAUAAGGAGCCUAAAGGGAGCACAGACAAGAAAAGCAAAUAGGCUACAAAGUAUGGAUGACACAGGGAUCCAGUGACAAACACAUAAGACAGAGAAGAAAAUGUUCUUCAGGCUCUAAAGAGCAAAGCUGUACAGCAGUACACACUAACGGCGUGACUUACCUUUGCUCGAGCAGAAGAGAUCCAUGCUGAACAUUUACAGUAACGUCCGAAGAACUUUGGAACUUCAAGAGUUGCUGCAGCGACUUCCCCCCCCCCCCGCCGACAGCUUUCCUUCACACAGCUCUCUUCUUUGUGAUCUGAAUGUGUCACGCCGGAUCUUUGACUUUCUCUCACUAUCUCUGAUCGUUCUCCGCUCUCCCUUUCCAACACGUCCCGCUGUGUAGAUCCACAGAAUGGGAGUCACCCCCCAAACCUUCACCCCACCCCACCUCCUCCUCCUCCUCCUUCACAGGUCAGAGCCGCCCUCCAUAAUAACACCUCUGUUCGUGUGUAUGUGUGUGUGAGCAGCGCUUAAGUGUUUGAAAAAGAGCUAAAAUUUCAGAGCAGCAACAAAAGGCAAACAAGGGGCGUAAAGAUGAAAGGAGAACAAAGAACA